UACGGGGGGGGCAAGCGUUGUUCGGAAUUACUGGGCGUAAAGGGUUCGUAGGUGGCCUGCUAAGUCAGACGUGAAAUCCCUCAGCUUAACUGGGGAACUGCGUCUGAGACUGGUGGGCUUGAGUGCAGGAGAGGAACGCGGAAUUCCAGGUGUAGCGGUGAAAUGCGUAGAUAUCUGGAGGAACACCGGUGGCGAAGGCGGCGUUCUGGACUGCUACUGACACUGAGGAGCGAAAGCUAGGGGAGCAAACGGG
rnacentral:rRNA from 1 species